AGAGUUUGAUCCUGGCUCAGAUUGAACGCUGGCGGCAUGCCUUACACAUGCAAGUCGAACGGAUCUUUGGGGCUUGCUCCAAAGGUUAGUGGCGAACGGGUGAGUAAUGCAUCGGAACGUACCCAGUCGUGGGGGAUAACCAGCCGAAAGGCUGACUAAUACCGCAUACGUCCUGAGGGAGAAAGCGGGGGACUCGCAAG
rnacentral:rRNA from 1 species